rnacentral:rRNA from 1 species
UGGGGAAUUUUCCGCAAUGGGCGCAAGCCUGACGGAGUGACGCCGCGUGGGGGACGAAGGCCUUCGGGUCGUAAACCCCUGUCAGAAGGAAAGAAGGUCGGCGGCGUGAACAGCGCCGUCGAUUGACGGUACCUUCAGAGGAAGCCCCGGCCAACUCUGUGCCAGCAGCCGCGGUAAGACAGAGGGGGCAAGCGUUGCUCGGAAUCACUGGGCGUAAAGGGCGCGUAGGCGGGAGACCAAGUCGGUCGUGAAAUCCUCGGGCUCAACUCGAGGGGGUCGGCCGAAACUGGUUUUCUUGAGGGGCGCAGAGGAGCCUGGAAUUCCCGGUGUAGCGGUGAAAUGUGUAGAGAUCGGGAGGAACACCGGUGGCGAAGGCGGGGGCUCUGGGCGCACCCUGACGCUGAGGCGCGAAGGCGUGGGGAGCAAACGGGAUUAGAUACCCCGGUAGUCCACGCGGUAAACGAUGACGACUAGGUGUGGGGGGGUUCAGUCCCUUCCGUGCCGCAGCUAACGCAUUAAGUCGUCCGCCUGGGGAGUAC